rnacentral:lncRNA from 10 species
UGGCUGGCUGCUCCAAGUGCAGGGCCCGCCAAGACCACGCCCACCCGGAACUCCAGCUGACAGCGAGUGGGAACGCAGCGAGUGGGAACGCAGCCCCAGUUGCCACUCACGCCUCUCCCUCCACACCUCCCUGCAAGCUGAGGGAGCCGGCUCCGGCCUUGGCCAGCCCAGAAAGGGGCUCCCACAGUGCAGCGGUGGGCUGAAGGGCUCCUCAAGUGCCCCCAAAGUGGGAGCCCAGGCAGAGGAGGCCCCGAGAGCGAGCAAGGGCUCUGAGGACUGCCAGCACGCUGUCACCUCUCAAAACCACCUCACUUGGUUGUAGGAGGUCAUUGAAGAUUGCCUGGAGGAAGCCAUGUUCAAUGGGCACAUUUGUAGAAUGAUGUGAGCCAGAUUAUCCUGCUGUUGCCCAGAAUGGAGCGCAGUGGCAUGAUCUUGGCUCACUGCAAUCACCACCUCCCGAGUUCAAUUAAUUCUCCUGCAUCAGGCUCCUGAGUAGCUCCCAUGGCAGACAUCCAGCUGAUCACACUGUGUCCACAUAAGGCAAAUGCUGAGCUGUAAUCCAUCAAGCUGUUUCCGCAUAGAGAAAAGGCCAUAUGAGUACACAGCCAGAAGGUGUCUGCCUACAAGACAAAGAGGGAAAACUUACCUGAAACCAACCCUGAUGGAUAUUGGAUUUCUAAGCUCCAGAACUAAAAGAAUCAGUUUUAGAUUCUUCCGUCACUACAUUUGCUGCCUCGUACAUUUAAUAUGAUGCUCCAAAAUGAGAAAACUGACAAGCAAGCAGAACAGACAUAAUUGCCUGAGAUUUAACUUCAGAAAGCAAAACUAAGUUUCCAAAAUAUCAAAAAUAUUUUAAGUGUUGUUGUAUUUGUUGUUAUAUUAAUACAUGAUUUGGUUUUAUUGAAAUAAAAUAAUAAAUUUUGUAUGUUCAAGUAUCACUUUUCUUCUGCCUUUAUCAAAUUUCUAAAUUGCUUGCAGGUGCAGCUACAUUCACAACAAAUUCCUUUCCUUGAGGUUAUUCUAAUGGCUCCAAUAAGAGAAAAAAAAUCUUCCUCCUAUUACACUGUAUUAAUGACU